AGGUUGUUUCAUAGACUCCCAAGAAAGAAGUGAACAGUCAAGAUUUGGGAAGGCCAAGAACCAGGGCAGUGAUUGCUUCAGAAAUGUGAUUCUCAGCAGGGUCUGAUUUAUUUCCCAGAGGACACUUGGUAAUUGGCAGCAACACAGCAGUACUAGUAAAUAUCAACAUGAAGCAGA